rnacentral:rRNA from 1 species
AUUGAACGCUGGCGGCAUGCCUUACACAUGCAAGUCGAACGGCAGCACGGGAGCAAUCCUGGUGGCGAGCGGCGAACGGGUGAGUAAAGUAUCGGAACGUGCCCAGUCGUGGGGGAUAACGUAGCGAAAGUUACGCUAAUACCGCAUACGAUCUAUGGAUGAAAGCGGGGGAUCGCAAGACCUCGCGCGAUUGGAGCGGCCGAUAUCAGAUUAGGUAGUUGGUGGGGUAAAGGCUCACCAAGCCGACGAUCUGUAGCUGGUCUGAGAGGACGACCAGCCACACUGGGACUGAGACACGGCCCAGACUCCUACGGGAGGCAGCAGUGGGGAAUUUUGGACAAUGGGCGAAAGCCUGAUCCAGCCUUGCCGCGUGUAGGAUGAAGGCCUUCGGGUUGUAAACUGCUUUUGUACGGAACGAAAAGGUUUGGCCUAAUAAGCUGGACCCAUGACGGUACCGUAAGAAUAAGCACCGGCUAACUACGUGCCAGCCGCCGCAGUAA